UAAACUGCAGACAUCUGGCUGAUAUUCUACUGAUCCACACUGAGGAUCUUCAUGGUAAAGUCUGCUUUCUUCUUCACUGCUUUGCUCCAGUUAAAGUUUCUUUCUGUUUCCAACUUCCUGCCAGGAUUUAUUGCCUAAAAACAGCAACUCCUAAACUCCACGUUGCUCAACUGAGAGCCUCCAGGAUUGUCAAAGACUCCUGGAUCAGGUGUUGAAACGUUUUCACAGAAACUGAGUGAAAGUCUGCUAACCUUGGAUUUAAUCCUGUUGUAGUUGCCAUGACUCUGAUGAUUGAGAAUAUGCACAGGCAUGAGCAGACAAGCCAGAGGGCCCGGUGUGGAGCAGAAUUAUAAUGAUGAGAGAUUAAAGCUGUCUACUACUGAGGUUAAUGCAAAGUUACAGACAAGUAACAGACUUUAAGAAGCAAACUGAAGAUAAAAGUCUUUGUCUUCAGCUUCAAGCAGACCAUCACUACUGAAAGCCAGCGCUAAGCUGACCACCUCACUAUAGCUGCUGGUGUUGCUAGGAUGUGGUCCUGACGGGCCCAUGUGGGCUGAGGGAGAGGUACCGAGAGACAACACAUCCAGAGGUUUACAUCCUGAAGGUGAGGAAACCAGGGAUAGAAGAACAAAGAUGGAGACGGCAGUACAAGUAACCCCUCCAGAACCGUUGGACUUCUCCUGUCCUGCAGAACGGGCGAGGUGGGCCAGAAGAUUGGAGAGGUUUCAGACUGCAGCAGCUCUAGAUGAGAAAUGUGAGGAAGAUCAAGUUAGUUCACUCCUGUUUGCUGUGGGAGAAGCUGCAGAUGACAUUUUAGCUGUUGGACCUUUGACUAGAGCAGAGAAAAGAUGCCUGGAGCUGGAAAAGCUGUGUUUGAGCAGCACUAUGUGGGGAAAUCCUCCAUCAUCUUUAAAAGAGCCCAGUUCAGUUCCAGACGUCACCAAGAUGGAGAGAGAGCAGAACCAUUUAUUACAGCUGGACACAAACUGGCAGGAAACUGUGGUUCUGGAGAACUGGAAGAAGAACUCAUACGGGCCAGAACUGUAGCUGGGAUAAAAGGACAUAAAGCUGUCUGAACCGGUACCAAUGGACUCUGAGUUAACGCUCACAAAGGCCAAAGAAAAAGUCCAGCAGAGGGAAACUGUGAAGAACCAUAAACAGUUCUGCUCAGCAGCACAGCAGAGGGGAGCAGAUCCAACAUGGACGCCAGAAGGACCAAGAUGAGAAAAAUAAAGAGCCAGACCCGGCAGCAGUCAGAACGGGACCAAAGCCAGAGAAGCUGGGAGGAAAAGAGUGUGGUGGAUGUGGCUGAAAGCAGAAAGCUUCAUGGAAAGACUGCCCAGCUAGAGAUGUUCAGUGUUGGAGCUGUUAGAAGGAGCUUCUUGCUGGAGUUUGUUGGUUCGGCCCAGCAGCCAAACUACAGGAGGUCCCAGAACCCCAAGAUGACCCAGACAGGCAGGAUGAUGGAUUUCUAGGAGAAAGAGGGUUGAGGAGGUCAGAACCGUGGAGAGAAAAGGUCCAGAUGAACCACCAUGACAGAUAUGGGAGUGGUGUAGGGGUUUCUGGGAAGUUGGAGUAAAAAUGUUCCUAAGCAGAGUCCGGUGGGUCCUGUCUGCUGGUUGUACAGCCAUGUUCUCCUGAUAUUGUUCAGCUCUACUUUCUAGGAGCCCUUUUCAGUGAGCCAGGAUCUAAACAAUGGGAGGACUUGUUGAAAUGACUGCAGACUCUCUGUAAAUAUCCUCACCAUGAAUCCAGCAUCAUCUAAUAUAGCCGACAAUAAAGGAGUCAGAGACACAAGCAGGAAAGUCCAGGAAAAAAUAAGCAGCAUUUUUCCUGAAGAGUCUGAAUGUGGUCCAGAUGUUCUGCAGAGUAAAAACUGGAAAAGGUCCAUUUGUUCUGGGCUCCACCUUCUGGACUGAAGCAACAUUGAGCUCUGAACUGUUGGCCUCCAGUUAAAUCUCAGCUUGGAUGGUUGGAUGAAGAAAUCUGAUGUUUGUUGGGAAUUUGUUCUGCUUUCUUUGCUGAUAACAUUGAUAUCAGACUGGUUCUGUUUGUGAUGCAGCAUCCUGUGUGACAGUAGAACAGGUAGAAGCGCUUCUGUUCUCAGUCAUGUAUUCAUGUGUUUAGAAAUGAGUGAAGUGUAAUUAUUGCAGCUGUUGAUCCUU